GCAGCACCGAGGCGAGGGCGGUGCAGCCCCCCCGGCCGGACCCCCGGCAGCAGGGCCGGGCCCGUCCCCCCCGCCGCUCGUCCGCCAUACUGCGGGGCAACCCAAACUUGUUAAACGCGGGCACCAACUCCUCCCGCUCCCGCUGCUCCUCCUCCCGCCGCCGCCGCCCUGCCCCUCCGGCGCGGGGAGGAGGGGGCUGCGCGGGCCCGGCCCCAGCCGCGGGGAAGGCGCCGAGGCGGGCGGGGGCCGUGCCAGGGCAGCGCCGCAGCCCCCCGCAGCUGUCAGGAGAGUUUAAAUCAGGUCUCCGCGGAGCUGCCCAGUUUGCAAGAGGUACGUGCAUGGAGUCUUCCUGAGCACUUCAUGGGAUGGGAAGGUUCCCUCUUUCUGAGGCAGCAGCACCUGUGACAGGAGGCUGAAAGGAUGUGUUUCUGACUGCUUCCCAGCUCCUGGCUGUGCUGGAGGCUCCAGAGGGGUGGCAGCACCGUUCAUUUCUCCCCUGAAACAGAAGAAUGCGCUCGGUCGCGCUUCUCAGCAGCUCUGCAGCCUGUGGAGAGUGUGGGCAGUUCCUGUGCGCAGCAUCCUGGAAAAUGUGCGUUCUCUUGAAGUGAUCUGCUGGAAAGCACGUACUUGCUGCAGUUGUUCCAGCCUCUCGAGGUCUGAAAUGCCUGGUCUCUGAUAACUCCCUGGGAUUUGCAUUUCGUCUGCCGAAGGAACGCUACCUGCCGCGCCCGUCCAGCGAACCCUGCAGGGCAAGGACACUGAAAAUGGCUCUGGGUGUUUUUUAUGCAGUUUGGGGUUUGUUGCUAGAAGUGGCAAUAGCAUUUGGCCCGGUCCCGAGGAUCACUUGGGAACACAGAGAGGUCCAGCUAAUACAUUUUAAUGAAUCAAAAGUGUCAAACUAUUCAACCUUGCUGUUAAGUGAAGACAAAAAUGUUCUAUAUGUAGGAGCCAGGGAAGUGAUCUUUGCCUUAAACGCAGUGAAUAUUGCUGAGAAGCAGCACGAGUUACACUGGAAGGCCGCAGAAGAUAAAAGGACAAAAUGUGCAGUCAAGGGCAAAUCAGAACAGACGGAGUGUCGUAACUACGUGCGUGUCUUGCAGCAGCUCAAUGAUACUUUUCUCUAUGUGUGUGGAACUAAUGCAUUUCAGCCAACGUGUGAUUACGUGAAUUUAACUUCAUUUGAACUUGGAGGUAAAAAUGAGGAUGGUAAGGGUAGGUGUCCAUUUGAUCCUGCUCAAAGCUACACAUCUGUUAUGGUUGAUGAGGAGCUUUAUUCUGGGACUUCUUACAAUUUCUUGGGAAGUGAACCCAUUAUUUCACGGCACUCUCAUCAGAGCCCUCUGAGAACAGAAUAUGCAAUACCUUGGCUUAAUGAGCCCAAUUUUGUUUUUGCUGAUGUGAUAAGAGCAGACCAAAACAGCACAGAUGGAGAAGAUGACAAGAUAUACUUCUUUUUCACCGAGGUGUCUGUGGAGUAUGAAUGUAUUGGAAAACUGAUGAUUCCAAGAAUAGCUAGGGUCUGCAAGAGGGACCAAGGAGGAUUAAGGAUCUUGCAAAAAAAAUGGACGUCCUUUCUCAAGGCCAGACUGAUUUGUACCAUCCCUGAUAAGAACUUAAUUUUCAAUGUUAUCAAUGAUGUUUUUAUUCUCAAGUCUCCGACUUUGAAGGAACCAGUGAUAUAUGGAGUCUUCACCCCACAGCUGAAUAACGUGGGGUUGUCAGCAGUGUGUGCAUACAGUCUGUCUACUGUAGAAGAGGUUUUCUCAAAAGGAAAAUACAUGCAGAGUGCUAUAGUGGAACAGGCUCAUACAAAGUGGGUACGAUACAAUGGGGAGAUCCCUAAUCCUCGACCUGGUGCGUGUAUAAACAACGAAGCCGGAGGAUCGAGCUACAUGAGCUCGCUGAAUUUACCAGACAAGACACUGCAGUUUGUUAGAGACCAUCCUCUGAUGGAUGACUCAGUGACCCCGAUGGGAGACAGACCUCGACUGGUAAAGCAAGAUGUGAAGUACACACAGAUUGUGGUAGACAGAGUCAGAGCACUCAAUGGCACCAUGUACGAUGUGAUGUUCAUCGGUACAGAUCGGGGAGCCGUGCACAAAGCUAUCAGCUAUGAAAAUGGAAUGCAUAUUAUUGAAGAAACACAGUUUUUUCCAGAUUUUGAACCAGUCCAAACUCUCUUGCUUUCAUCCAAAACAGGCAGAAAAUACCUCUUUGCUGGCUCAAAUUCUGGUGUGGUUCAGUCCCCAGUGGCGUUCUGUGACAAGUACACCACUUGUGUUGACUGUGUUCUAGCAAGGGAUCCUUACUGUGCUUGGAAACCCCUCGAAGCUUCCUGCGUUGAUAUUUUUAAAGAAGCUGAAAUUGGAAGGAACUGGAUUCAGAACAUAGGUGGAGAUGCAUCUUCUUGUUCUGAUAAAGUAAGAGAGAAUCCCCUACAGCAUACAUUCAAGCAUGGGAGCACAGCAGAACUCAAGUGUUCUCAAAAGUCCAAUCUGGCACAGGUAGUUUGGAAGUUCAAAGAUGAUGUGCUGAGAGUGGAGAGUCCCAAGUACCGUCUGCUGGAAAAGGCACUGCUCAUCUUCAAUUUAUCAGAAGGAGACAGUGGUGUUUACCAGUGUUUGUCAGAAGAAAAAGUGAAGAAUAAGAAAUUUUCUCAAGUGCUGGCUAAGCAUGUUUUGGAACUGAAAAAAAUACAGCACACCAUGGUGGGCCCCACCGCAGCAGCUGCGCCAACAGAAGGUAAUAGUGAUGUGCCAAAAGCGUCAGCUGUGUCAACCGAGGGUUCCACUGCUCACAGCUCCACCACUCACAUGGUACCAGUAACGACAGCAAGGAUAGUGACAAAGCCCAUUGGCCCUGUCCUAACAAGUGUAGCCUCCAACACAGAGCUCUUCAAUUCAAUUCCCGAUGCGGUCCCAGAAAAGACGAUGUUCCUCAAGUCAAACGACAACUUCUUGUUGAUGUUCCUCUUCCUCUUCUUUUUCAUUCUGUUUUUGUGCCUGCUCUCCUACAACUGCUACAAGGGGUACCUGCCGGGGCAGUGCCUGAAGUUCCGCUCUGUCAUGCUGCUCGGCAAGAAGAAAACGAAGUCGGAUUUUUCCGACUGCGAGCAGAGCGUGAAGGAGACGCUGGUGGAGCAGGGCAGUGUGAGCCACCAGAGCGGGGAGCAGCCGAAGCCCGCGCACGACACCGGCUACGAGACUGAGCCCGACUGCGGGAACAGCCAGCUGCAGGCCGGGGACUCGCAGGCGUCCCGGGAGGCCAAGGACAAGCCCUUCGAUGUCAAGUGCGAGCUCAAGUUCGCGGACUCGGACGUGGAAGGGGACUGAGGGCCGCAGGCAUCCCUUCCCUUUCCGAGGUGGAUGCGAGCUGUGGUCCCACCGUGGCUGUCGGAGCACGGGCGGGGUGUGACGGGCUAAGCCAUAGCGGGGUUUUCGUGCUUCAGCUGUACAGCAAGCCAGUUUCCAUUCAGAUCUCAGCAGAUUAGAGAAGCGGUGUUCUUGUCUGGAGACCGUGGCAUCUUGUGUUGUACUGUCCUUUCUUUUUAAAAGUUUUUUUAAAUGGCCAGUUUCAGAUCACCACUUGUUUAUUCCCAAUUUUUUCCCCCCACUGAGCGCUUUGCUCUAGUGAAGCUACUUGCUUGUUCUUUGGCCAUGUUCUUCCAUAGAGUAAAAGUAACUUUUUAAUUCAGUUGGCUUUAAAAAGUACUUCAGUCUACACACGUUUUUAGUUGCCAUUAAAAAAAGACCUAGUUUCAUUUUAAUUCCAAAUUGGAAAUUGAGUUUAGUUUAUCAGAUUGGUAAAUUAUAGACUUUUGUCCAGAUUGGGACAUUUUUUUCUUUGCUUCUAGUGAUUAUUUUUAGUUUUAUGCUUUGUGUUUUGGCACACUAGAUCUCUUUAGUUGGUUAAAGUUAAUUUUUUUAACUACUUUUUAAGUAUCUUAGAUUUUAAGGUACAAUGGGGAUAGCAUUGCCUUGAUUUGUGUAAGACUCAGGGAUAAUCUUGUUUAAAGGUUUUUUUCUUUGCUGCUUUUUAGAAAUGUAGGUACAACAAUAUCAGUACAAAACAUGGAGUAAGUGGGGAAUGGGGAAGGAGGAAAUAAAUGCUUUUCUUUUUUUUUUUUUGUUUUUCCUCCCCCCACCAGCUAGAAAGCUGGACAUAGUGAUGUUUUAUUUUCUAUACAAAACUGGAUUUUUUUUUUCCUUUAGUUAAUGAUACAGUACAGGCAAGCAACUGUCAGUUAGCAGUGACAAGGAAAGAGGUUUCUUGCAUUGUAGGAGCAAAACAGGAAUCAA